rnacentral:lncRNA from 1 species
AUGCCUUUCAAGGGUUCUUGGCUGGGGGUGUACUUCAGAACUGCCAAGCCCUCAGUGAUUGUGAAGCACUUUUUAAAAAACCGAUUGAUCACGACUGAAGGGGUCUUGACAGGAGUGAUGAUCUGUCUGGCAGUACCUAGCUGUUGUGUGUAUAGCAUCUUGGCAACUACCCAGACUGUAAGCCCUGUAUCAAAAUGUGUCUUAUCCCUCUUAUCUCAGCCCUUAACACAGUACCUAGUAAAGAGUUUGUAUGAAGUUGGCAUUUACUAAAUCAGUGCUUUUCCCAGCAACAGUAUAUAGUGAACAGUAUUCAUAUUGUCAUCUUGCUUUUUGUUUGUUUAAAAUUUUUUUUUUAAUUUUUUUUUUUUUUUUUCAGCGUUUAUUUAUUUUUGGGACAGAGAGAGACAGAGCAUGAACGGGGGAGGGGCAGAGAGAGAGGGAGACACAGAAUCGGAAACAGGCUCCAGGCUCUGAGCCAUCAGCCCAGAGCCCGACGCAGGGCUCGAACUCACGGACCGCGAGAUCGUGACCUGGCUGAAGUCGGACGCUUAACCGACUGCGCCACCCAGGUGCCCCUGUUUAAAAUUUUUUUAAUGCUUAUUUAUUUUUGAGAGGCAGAGCACGAGCAGGGGAGGGGCAGAGAGAGGAGACAGAAUCUGAAGCAGGCUCCAGGCUCUGAGCUGUCAGCACAGAGCCCCACGCCUGAACCCAUGAACCAUGAGAUCGUUGCCUGUGGCAAAGUCAGAUGCUUAACUGACUGAGCUACCCAGGUGUCCCUGUUAUCAUCUUGCUUUUAAGAUGAACUCAGUGAAAACAAAGUUUGGUGACUUACCUGAGCUGGGAUGUGGGCCUGGGACUGUUGGCUCCUUACACAGUGCUGUAAGACCCAGGUAUUCCUUCCACUGCCCUCUCUGUACCUCUGAGCAGGUCGUUUUUUUCACACCACUUAACUAACUAGUAUGUUCUUUAGUCAAUCAUUACAUAACUUGUCCGUGAGCUUCUUGAGAGCAGGAACUAUACUGUGCAGUUUCAUUUUGUACGUAGCCCAGAGUAAACAUUUUUUUGCUAAGCAGGGUUAUUUGAGAUUUGCAUUUAAAUGGUAAAUGUCAAAGAAAACGAAAUUUUGGUUAAACAAUCGUUGUAGAUGUGCUUAAUUUUUCAAGUUACUAUUUUUUUUUCAAUAUAUGAAGUUUAUUGUCAAAUUGGUUUCCAUACAACACCCAGUGCUCAUCCCUUUAAGUUACUAUUAAGCAAAGAUUUUUUUUUAACUUGUAAGGAUACUGCUAUUGUGGUAGUGUAAAUGAUGAUUUUCCUUUUUAUUUUAGACUGAGAAGGCUUAAUAAUCACCUUCAUAAGUACUUACAUCUUUGUGCCAACUUUUCUGUUAAAGCUUAUUCUCUGUUACUGUGUGUACUAAUUUAUGAAACUUCUGUUUGUUAUUUAUAUAAUUAUGACAUGUUUAUAAAAUAAACUUUUAAACCUCAUAAUUCUUAUUGGUCUUUUUUAAGAAUGUGGAAUCUAAACAGAUGUAAUCAAUGAAUACCAGAUUGCAUGUUCCUUAUACUCACACAUUAUCCUGUUUAAUCUUCAGAAUAACUUUGUGAAGUGAAUGGUAUUGUCUUGUUUUUAUAGCUGAAGAGGCUGAGGCCUUAAAGGGGAGCAUGACUUCCCCAAAGUCACAUGAUGAGCAAGUGGUGGAACAUUUAUUCAUAAGUUAUUUCUGCUUAUUUCUUCUCUUCUGUCCUUGAGGACUUUGAGAAGAAAACCGUCUUCACCCCACCACCAUGAUCUGUCAAAGUCAAGCUCUGUCACAAUAGAAGGCUACUUGGAGAGGUCUCAGAUUCUGUAUACAGGGCUCUUGUUUUUUCCCAGAAAGAGAAAAGUGAGUGAUCCUGUGGUGGACUGGGGAGACUGGAAAACAGGGACACUGCAAGUGAGUUCCUGAGCCUCUCCAGAACAGCUUUCACUGGGAGUUUUGCCCCUUUAGUUUCUAUCCUGAGGCUUCCUGGGCCUUGAAGAGGUGUUAUUUCAAAGUUGUGUUUGGCUCAAAUAUCUUGGAGCAUGACAGAAAAUUACAUUAUCUUAGGAAAGUGCACUUGCCCUUGGUCCCCUGUUUUAUUUAGAAUGUGGAUUUCUUGGAAGAAUGUUUUUUAAGUUUGCCUGAUUAGAAACUCUCAAUCUUGAGGCUUGGGAGUUCUUUACAAGCCCAGCACCACCACAAGAAUUAAUCACUUGGGUCUAAGUCUAAACAGUGGCAUUCCUUGAGUUUCUUAAAGAAGAGAUUAUUUUAGGGGCACCUAGGUGUCUCAGUCAGUUAAGCAACUGAGUUGAUUUUGGCUCAGGUCACGAUCUCAACAAUUCAUGGGUGCGAGUCAUGUAUCAUGCUUCACCAUGACAGUGCAGAGCCUGCUUGGGAUUCUCUCUCUCCGUCACCC